rnacentral:lncRNA from 1 species
GCGCCCGGAGGACGCGGCCUUAGCCAAUCCCAGGGCUACAGGGCGCUUUUAAAAUGCAGGAGGUUUCUGGAAAUGUGAUGUUCUCAUGGGACAUUGCCUUUGGCACAUCUGAUAAGCUCUAAUGGCUCCAUCCAGACUCGAUUGAAACAGGAACCUACUUCAGGGAACCAUACAGAGGCCAAAUUCAGAAUCCCUACUUGAACCGCUGACCUUUUGCCCUCUCCAAGGCCGGAAGCAAGCCCUUGCCUGAUGCACGCCUCAGUCGCCCCGUCUGUAAAGUGGGCAGCCCAUCAAAUUCACAUCUCCCUGGCUGAGAGUCAUCUGGAGAAAUAAUGACUAUGUGACCUAAUGAAAAUUGCACGGUGCCUGCCGAGCGAGGUGGGUAAGCCACUGGCCCAACGCUGUCAUUACAGGAGGUGAAGCAGCGCGUGGGCUGAUGACUGGCAAGGGGUGCAGCCGCAGGAACCUUUCAUCAUGGGUUCCCUUGGGAGGCCAGGUAGGUCAGCUCUGAAAGCACCCGGUGCUGCGGGGCCUGCCUUCCUGUGGCUUCGGCUUGGGCGCCAUCCCAAGCCGGGUUGGCCAGAACUCUGCCUGUGCAGCCCCGCCCCCAGGCAAGCAGGAAACAAUGCACCUGAGCAACCUCCUCCCAUCUGCAGAGGAGGAAGCUAAGGUGUAGGGGGGUCAAGGCACUGGCCUAAGGUCCCACAGCCAAGGGGUGGCUGGGAGGUGCAAUCAGGUCUGCCUGGCACAGAGUCUGGUCUCCUGACCACGAUGCCAAACUGGUUAUUAUUGUCACCACAAUAGAAUACUAAUAAUAGUUGUCGUAAUUAUUAUUAUUGUGGAGGGCUGUUCUCCAGGCAGGCAGGUCUGGGUUGCUGCGUCACUGGGGCCAGGAGGCUGGCUAGUGCCCACAAUGAGGCAGGGUCCUGUCCCAAACAGCACUAGGAGAAUGCUGGAGAUGGGAGGCUGAGCCCAUCCUGCAGCCUGGGUCAGCAGCCUGGGGCCUCACCCCCACCCUCCAUCCAAUGCUGGGUGGCGGGCAGCCUCUCCAAUGCCCAUCUGCCCUGGAGGGCUCUGGUGAUGGAUACAGUGGAGAUUCGUUGAUAUGAACAUUAAACAUUCAACCA